CAGGACUACUGAGAUGCUGUGCAAGUGCUCAAUGAACAAUCUGCUGCUGGCCUUCUGGUCUCCUGAUCUGCGUAAGUGAGCAGGAGGCAGACUACCUGGACACCUACAACUGUAGCUGUGCAUGUAGCACCACAGGGGAAUGGAGAUGUACCCUCAGCCCUGGAAGACCUGGAUUCGUCAAGACCUUGAGAAGAGCUUUUCCAAAUUUACACUGGGGCUAAAUAUACUGUUACUGGCCAGAGCCAUCCCUCAAAUACACUCUUUCUUGGGGAAAAAAAAAACAAACACAAAACCUCUUUGAGUAGCAGGAUUCUGGAUAGGAUUCUCCGGCUCUCAGCCAUUAAAGCAAAAAAGACAGGAACUAUAAUCAGUGUAAUUAUCUAGGUCUGACAUGAAGCCCCCCCCAGUCCCUGCAGUACUGCUCCCUCCUGGGCUUCCAGGCUGAAACAUAAGUAACAGUGCACACCGUUAGAUAGGAAAGGAACAGAAAAACAGGAAGCCAAGACCACGCUCAGGGCUAUUGAUUCUGUGGCCAGGUGUGAACCUGGCCCGUCAUCCCCUCCAGCUCCUUGGCACUCCAUGGAGAUAGGUGGGAGGAAGCAGCAGGAUCCACCACACCAGUCCCCAGCUGGUCAUGCACUGAAUGGUGCCCCUCAAACAGACUGAUGAAUAGCCCAUUGCUCUGUCCCUCUGCAUCACCUUCAUCUGGCUUUCAUCAAAAAGAAAACAAAAUAGAAAUGAACACACGCAACCCCCACACUCACAGUGGGAAGCUUCACUCAGCCUGGACGUCUCCUGCCCCAGCUGCUCAGGCACCGGGGGUACCUGCCUGCCCCAUGAGCGGGCCACUGCCAUCAUGUGUGUCCUCCACAGGUGUCUGGUUAGUGUGAACCACAAUUGUGUUCUCAUCUACGAGCUCACAGGCAGGAUUGGUGAACGCUGAGAGUGGCAGUGUGAUGCGCUGCAUUUCACGCUCAUAAACUUUCUGCUCGUGCUUCUCCUUCAGGUCUUUUCC
rnacentral:lncRNA from 1 species